AGCGAACGCUGGCGGCAGGCCUAACACAUGCAAGUCGAACGGAUCCUUCGGGAUUAGUGGCGGACGGGUGAGUAACACGUGGGAACGUGCCCUUUGGUUCGGAACAACUCAGGGAAACUUGAGCUAAUACCGGAUGUGCCCUUCGGGGGAAAGAUUUAUCGCCAUUGGAGCGGCCCGCGUCUGAUUAGCUAGUUGGUGAGGUAACGGCCCACCAAGGCGACGAUCAGUAGCUGGUCUGAGAGGAUGAUCAGCCACACUGGGACUGAGUCACGGCCCAGACUCCUACGGGAGGCAGCAGUGGGGAAUCUUGCGCAAUGGGCGAAAGCCUGACGCAGCCAUGCCGCGUGAAUGAUGAAGGUCUUAGGAUUGUAAAAUUCUUUCAGCGGGGACGAUAAUGACGGUACCCGCAGAAGAAGCUCCGGCUAACUUCGUG
rnacentral:rRNA from 1 species